CCCUCCUGUGAAAGAUGGUAACAUUAGUGCAAUCGCGUUAAUUCUGUUCAACAUUAAGUGGCACUUCUAACAGCGAAUCCUCUGAAAAAAUAGCAAAACGCAACAUUUAAAGAUACAUUUCAGUCCACCAGCUAGCUAACAAAUUUAACUAGUAGUAGGAGACAUCUUGAACAUACUGUGUGCACAUACCUUACACAUGGUCAUGUUCACAAGUUUAAACCCCUUUUUAUACUCUAAGAACUUACCCUGUCUCUGUGUUGCACCAUCGAAUCCUCCAUCUCCAGAUGCCGGUCAAGUGGGACCGUGUCGAAAGUGCUUGGAUUUUCAUUCGAUCCACGUGAAGCAUCUUCAACAACUUCUUGGAAUUACAGAUUAAGAGAAAGUGAUCUGUCUAUGAGGAAGUUCGAAAAUGGAGAUGUGGAAAAAUUUUGAUGACACAACCGUCGUCAUUUUGAAAGGGAACGUGGCGGAGAUCCUAGCCAUAGGCCAGGAGUUGCGUUUGGCCUGUUUGUCUCUGAGCAGGACUAAAUCCCCGACUUGUAGGUUUCUGCGAAGCGUCAUCCACUUCUGUCUGUGUUGUAAAUAAGGUAGGUAUUCUUGUCGCCAUCGUGCCCAAAACUGAUUUGCGAGAGCUUGGACUUGUCUCCACUGUUUCGUAUACAGAUCCUUCUCCGAGAAGUCACCAGGAGGAGGUGGGACUCUGGUCUUCUGCGUGAGGAACAUCGAUGGAGAGAGUAUCAGGGGGUUGUCUGGAUCUGUAGAUACUGGUAAAAGUGGUCGCGCGUUCAUAAUCACAGUGACUUCUGCCAUUAACGUAGAGAGCACUUCAUGGGUGAGGCAAGUGUUUAGCUGGAGCAACAUGGAAUCCAAGAUUCUUCUCGCGGUGCCUAUCAUUCUCUCCCAACAGCCCCCCAUAUGGGAAGCAUGUGGUAGGUUGAACUCCCAGACACAUCCUUGCUCACUUAGAUACCUUUGCAUGUUUGGGUCCAGCUGGCUUUUACCUAUCCCGAGUUCCUUGCUAGCGCCGAUGAAGUUAGUUCCGCGGUUGGACCGGGCCUUUAAUGGCAAAGAAGCGCCUGAGUGCAUUUAUGCAACUUGAUGUGCCUAAUGACUCUAUUAGCUCAACAUGAACAGCUCUUGAGCUCAUACAACUGAACAUGAUGGCCCAUCUCUUGCUUCCUGCUCGGGUCUGCCUAGCUGCGACUGACUAAGGACCAAAGACGUCCAGUCCCACAUAUGUAAACGGAGGGCAUGCCUGAAGGCGUUCGGAUGGUAAAUCUGCCAUGUGUUGUUCCUCGAGCUUCCCUCGGAGCUUCCUGCAUGUCGUGCAGUUGUGGAAUACUGAGUUUCUGAGUCUCUUGCCACCCAAGACCCAUAAUCCUUACAGCUCCCUCCGUGAUGUGAAGACCCUGGUGCUUCACUUGCUCAUGAUGGUGGCGUGUCAGCAGUAGGGAUACAUGGCUGUCUUUAGGCUAAAUUAUGGGUUGCUUUUCACCAGACUCCAGGUUGGAGUGUUGUAGUCGACCUCCGACACGGAUAAAGUUGUUCUCGAUGAUCGGGCUGAGCUUUUGGAGACAGCUGUUUUUGGGAAUUGGUUUUUGCGCUUGGAGAGCUGCAAGUUCCUUUGUGAAUUCUGACCUUUGUGACGCUUGAAGGACAACGUGUAUUGCUUAGUCCAGUUCCUCUGGGGUGCGAGGACGCUUACAUCUGUGCCACCCUUUGCACUCACGGUCUUCGUUCCUCUGUUUGCAGGAUCUGGCGAUGUGGAUGAGGAAGGCGACACCUCUGAGGAGUGAGCGGAGACUGGAGAAGCGUUGGAAGCGGACUGGGGUGAUGAUCUCAGGAAGGAUGGUCCGGAGAACCAGGUGGUCUGCGCCAGGCGAGAUGCAGGAUGGGUCUGUUGACCAGGACAGUCGCCAAGCACAAGCAAGGCACUACAAAACCCUUCAAGAGAUCUGCAAAAAACCCUAGCCAAAUAAUGAAGUUGUUUCCCAACUAUUCAACCUGGAAUUUGAAGCUAGAAGAACUUCUUUUGACUCGGACACACUCAAGGAGCAGGACAGACCCACCAAGAUUAUUGAAGCAUAUCCAUGUUUCAAGGAUCUGAAGCAUGUUCUUGAUGAACUAGGAAGGAUCAUUGACAGUUACAACCCCAACUAUCUCAGCAAGGUCAAGGAACGGUGUGACAGUUUCCAGACAAAAGCAACUUUUUAUGGUGUCAUGAAAAAACUCAUGAAACCUCAAGUUAUAUUAAGCGAUGAGGAAAAAACAAUAAACUUGUCAAAGGCCCUACCAGCCAUGUUUCCAUCUUCAACUGGUCCAUCAAAGAAGUUGAGACAAGAAACCCUCUGAAGACCCAGAUGUGUUCCUGAAGAAGAGAUACAUUUCUUGUCCUCACCUGGUUGUAGAUGAAGGAAAUUCAAACCGAGAUACUGAAGGAUGCCAUACAUGUGAGAGAUGCAACUCGGUCCUAUUGGAAAGCCAUGGCAGACUGGAACAAGUUUCUUGGCUAGUUUGUAUAAAUGGGACACUUGGUGACAGAUUUGUGUUUUCUUUUCUUUUUUUUUUGUACUCUGCAUCUGCAUCUUUUUGUGAAAUUUAGUUUUUCAAUCUUGGGUUUUUCUUAAGAGUGUUGUGCCUUCCUCAUGUUAAAUCAAUAAUGAAUAAUGUUCCAGACAUUCCAGAGUGUAUGCAAAACCAUUGAGUAACAUUCCUCCAGAAGGAAUGUAGUGUUACACUUAGAUUUACAACAUGUUUCAGAGAAGAAAAUUACUUUAUUAAGUCUAAGGAAUAUUGGGCCAUUUACUGUUUACAUAUCUAUAUUGUCUGCUCUCUUGGUUUGAAGCAGUUAGUCAGUGGGCUGGUUGUCUAAGAAUACGUAGUCUGACGGAACAUUCUGUGGAUGCUUGAAUUGCAAAUAAAAGUUUUGUUUUCAACCAAUUUCACUUGAUUCUGUUUAUUAGA